UAUUUAUUUCAUUCUUCAAAUGUAUUAGAACCUUUUGUUUUGUCAACAAAAUAAAAAUUUCACAUUUCUAUUGAUGAUAAACCAAGCAGCUAAAAUCAUGAGUAAGUUUCUUUGCAAACUAUUCUAAAGUCAGAUGUUCAGUUGUUCCUAAUUGCAAAUCAGUGAGUGAAUGUCUGUCGAAUAUCCAACUAACUUCACCUCAGUAAUCUGUGGAGUGGGAUGGCAAUGAAAGAUAUUUAAUACCAGUUAUAUUUGUUUUAUUUCUACAGUAGCAUUGCUGUGCCAUUUUUAUGGAAUAUAUGAUUUAAAAAGUCUCAGUUAGCCUUCAUAGCUGAGUGAACACCAGCACUAGAUAGCUACGUUAGCUGUCAAAGAUUCCACCGGUGUAGAUAACAACACAGUAAUAAUAUAGUCUAUUCCCUAAAUAAAACCAAUAAAAAUGUUCAAACUUACUUGUGAAAGGUAAUCCCCCGAUCCCUGGCUUCAAUAGUCCGCCCAUUUGAGCAGGCAUAUGCCGCACAAUGCUCAGGCAUCUUGUGUUUGUCUUCUUUAUUUUUGUUUGUCUUGGCGACAGGACGACCGGUCCAAGAUGGCGGCCGCAAUUCCUGCGCUCCAGCAGCCAAUGCGGCAUCUACUCUCUAUAUGAUAUCUAUGAUGACAACAAUAGCCAGUCAGCCCCUCCCCCCGGUCCGUGCUGACCGGUCUGCUGAUGUGAGUUGCCCACGUGUCCUCCAUUGCUGCCCUGCAGUUCUCUGUGCUGUUUUUGAAGCUUGUGUCCUGAGAUGUGCCACUCCACCUGGUUGGGAAAAAUUGUGGAGGUCAAGCUCAAGAAAGUGUUUGUCAGCAAAUGUACGGCCAGAGCAGGUUCUAAGCAGUAGGUCACUGCUAUGAUCUACAGUAUGUGGACUGGUUACUCUUUCAUCCUUUAUUUAUUUCUGUUUUUAAUUUUCGUGGACCAGGAGUUUUAAUACAGUUCCUGCCAAGUGUGUUCUAGGAUUUGGAAGCAUGUAAGUUCACUUGUUUCAAAGCCAAGUGAGAUUCCUCCUUGUACCUCAGCAGUGCUGUCAGUGUGUUUAGAAUCUAGAAGUAUUCAUUAUCACCACGUCGGCCAGAUUGAGUACGCCACACUUCAUGUACUUAAUGCUGGACCAGAUGACCCUACAGGACAGCACCCUGAAGUUUUUUUCCAAGGAUUUUUAAUCUUGUCUGGUGUCCGUGGCAGAAAUAAGAUCCUGUCCACAUUUGUUAUGGGAGAGAUCACACAUCAAUAUAAUGGUUGGGUCAUCUUGACCCUAUAAGAGAGCUCAAGGACUAAAGUACUUUUAAAUGAUUAAAAAAAAUAAUUUAGUUAAAACCGACUUUUCAACGAGGGGGUUAGUAAACAAUGUCAGCGCUUGUAUUUAAUUUAUUUUUGUAUCUCAUUUAUGUUUUAUAUUUCUGUAUUUUGUUUAGAAAAUGUAAAGAGUCUAAUGCUGUUAUCCCAAUACAAAUGUUGUACUGAUGGUGCUGGUCAAAUGCCAAAUAAAAUGUAACAUUUACAUA